rnacentral:rRNA from 1 species
GAUGAACGCUGGCGGCGUGCCUAAUACACGCAAGUCGAGCGAACGGACGAGAAGCUUGCUUCUCUGAUGUUAGCGGCGGACGGGUGAGUAACACGUGGAUAACCUACCUAUAAGACUGGGAUAACUUCGGGAAACCGGAGCUAAUACCGGAUAAUAUUUUGAACCGCAUGGUUCAAAAGUGAAAGACGGUCUUGCUGUCACUUAUAGAUGGAUCCGCGCUGCAUUAGCUAGUUGGUAAGGUAACGGCUUACCAAGGCAACGAUGCAUAGCCGACCUGAGAGGGUGAUCGGCCCCACUGGAACUGAGACACGGUCCAGACUCCUACGGGAGGCAGCAGUAGGGAAUCUUCCGCAAUGGGCGAAAGCCUGACGGAGCAACGCCGCGUGAGUGAUGAAGGUCUUCGGAUCGUAAAACUCUGUUAUUAGGGAAGAACAUAUGUGUAAGUAACUGUGCACAUCUUGACGGUACCUAAUCAGAAAGCCACGGCUAACUACGUG